rnacentral:pre_miRNA from 1 species
AGGAACAACAACUGUGGCUGCGGCCAGCUCUCCAGCCCUGGAGUCAGUUCCUGCAGUAACUACAGCAGCUCCCAGUCUGCAGGGGCCUGGAUGUUUCCGGGGCGGG